rnacentral:rRNA from 1 species
GACGAACGCUGGCGGCGUGCCUAAUACAUGCAAGUCGAGCGAACAGAUGAGGAGCUUGCUCCUCAAAUGUUAGCGGCGGACGGGUGAGUAACACGUGGGCAACCUGCCCUGCAGAUUGGGAUAACUCCGGGAAACCGGGGCUAAUACCGAAUAACAAAAAGAUUCUCCUGAUUCUUUUUUGAAAGGCGGCUUUUAGCUGUCACUGCAGGAUGGGCCCGCGGCGCAUUAGCUAGUUGGUGAGGUAACGGCUCACCAAGGCAACGAUGCGUAGCCGACCUGAGAGGGUGAUCGGCCACACUGGGACUGAGACACGGCCCAGACUCCUACGGGAGGCAGCAGUAGGGAAUCUUCCGCAAUGGACGAAAGUCUGACGGAGCAACGCCGCGUGAGUGAAGAAGGUUUUCGGAUCGUAAAGCUCUGUUGUCAGGGAAGAACAAGUACCAUAGUAACUGAUGGUACCUUGACGACCUGACC